rnacentral:tRNA from 1 species
GUUAAUAUGGCUGACAAAAGUAAUAAAUUGUAAAUUUAUAAAUGAAUUUAAAUAUUCUUUUAACA